UCGCCUUCGCCAGCCGCCCCGAGGCCCGCAUACCAAACGCUCUCUUGUACGGUGGCGAUGUCGCCUUCUCACCCUACGGCGAGUACUGGAGACAGGUGAAAUAACCGUUAUUUUAUAAAAAUUUAAAUUAUUUUUAAAAUAAUAAUAUAUAAAAUUUAUCCUAACUAUAAAUUAUUUUGGCACAUAAUUUUUUAUUUUAUUUGAUUUAAACAAUGUAACCGUUCCUUAGAUAAAAAAUAUAUGUAAACUAAUUGUUUACUCUAAUAAAUAAAGAGUUACGUAAAAUAUAUUAAUUAAAUUUGUAAAUAUAAACCCCGAAUUCAAAUGAAGUUAAAAAGUCGCUAAUUAGCUUAAAGUAAAUAAAUUAAAAGGUCGGACAAUAAAAUUAAAAUUUUUUAAGAUUAGAUUGUCUGAUCAUUCAACAAUAGUGUGAAUUUCGCGCUAAAAUAAGUUUUAAUACUGUUAGAAUUUACUAAGGUCUUUUUUUGCAUAAAAAAAUGACCCAGUUUGCGUUUUUACAAAAUCAGACCAUUUUUUUCUUUUUUUUUAAUUAACGAGAAUAAAAAUAUUAUACUUUUUAAAUAUAUAUUGCACUAUUUAAUAAAUGCAAUAAAAACAUAUAUUUGAUUAUAUAUUAUACUAUUUUAUAAUAUAUUAUAUUAUUUUUAUCAUUUAUUACACUAACUGAGAAAGAAUAAAAUUUUUUUAAAAAAAAAAGAAGAAGAAGAGAGACAUUGACUUCUCCUUUCUCUUUCUUCUCCUUCCUCUCCUCCGUCCUCCAACUCCGGCGCCCUGCCGCCUGCUAUCUCGAACUGCACCGCUACCCACGCCCUUAUCUCUGCGAUCCAUGCCUCACUCGAGCCCUCGCCGUAGCCAUCGCCAUUGGCCACAGCAAAGAUGCAGGCAAGGUAAGAGGAGGAGUGCAACGACGACGACGUGCAGAUGGUGGAGGAGGGAAACGAGAAAAAAAGAAAAAAGAAAAAAAAGAUAAGAGAGAUCAGAGAAUAGAGAUAAUUUUGUUAGUUUCUCAAAAAUCCGAUCUUAAUUAAUAUGCAAAAUCAAUAAAUGCAGCCCGAUUUAUUCUUUUCAACUUUGAGCUGUCCGAUAACUGCAUGUGUUUUCAUAUUUCCAACUGCAGGUGCGGCGCAUCUGCGUCCUGCACCUGCUCAGCCUCAAGCGCGUGCAGUCCUUCCGCUACGUCAGACAAGAAGAGGCCGCGCUGCUGGUCGACAAGAUCCGCGCCGCUGCUGCCGUCGCCGCCUCCUCCGGAGCAGUCGACGUCAGCCUGCUCGUCGUCAAUCUCACAAACGACGUCAUCUGCCGGGUGGCGUUCGGUCGCAAGUACUCCGCCGAGGGCGGCGGCGCCGCGAAGAUCCAAGCGACGUUAGCGGAGUUGACGGCGCUGCUGGGGACGGUGGAGAUCGGAGAGUUCGUUCCCUGGUUAGGAUGGAUCGAUCGGCUGAGAGGGUUGGAUCGGAGGGUGAGGGAUAACUCGAGAGAAUGGGAUGCGAUGCUGGAGCGAGUGCUGGAGGAUCACUGCAGUGGGAACGAGGAAGGUGAUGACCUCGUCGACGUGUUGCUAUCUAUAAACGACAAGGAUGAGAACCUUGGCAUUGCUCUUACUCGGAGUAAUAUGAAAGCUCUUCUAUUGGUAAGCAAAUUAACUUCAUUUGGUUAAUUAAUUUGGCCUCUCAAAUGGUAAUUAAAAUGAUAAUAUAAUUAGUUGCGUAAAAUACCUGCUUUUCUCUAAACAUUGAAUUAGCCAGGUAGCUAUGUUUUUAAUAUUAGGGAUAAUUGCCUAGGUACCUUUAAAACUUCUCAAAUAUUUAUUUAUUUCUAUUUGUUUUCAAAUAUACCUUUAUAUAUUUUUUUCUUAUUCAAAAAUAUCGUUACUGUAUCAUCUCAGGUUAAACAUGAUAUUGUGGCUAAAAAAUAGCAAAAAUAUCUUGGUGAUAAUAAAAUAUUUCUUUUGCACUUAAAUUAAAGACAAAUAAGAAAAAUUGGUAACGAUAGAAAUAUAUAUUUAAAAUCACUACAACAGAAUUAGGUUAUAGGGAUACAUGUUUGGGACACUUUUGAGUAAGUGUCCUAUUUAUCCUAAAACUUAAAAAAAAUAUCUACUAAUGCCUAAAUAUAAAGCCCGAUACAACCAAAAAUAAAAGAUUACUCUACUCAACCCACCACACCCAGUCCAUUUGGCCCAAUUACAAACAGAAAAGAAAAAAAAAAAGAAAAAUUAAUUACCAUAUUUUUUUCUCUCUUCACUCAAUCCACUGAAAUUCUAAACGAAGAGUCUUUCCUGUUGUCCUCCUCCGCCACCGCAGCCAACGAGAUAGAGUUUCGGCGGUUGCUAAAUGCUUAAAUAAGUGUUGAUAAAUUAGCAGCACUCUUUUAGAUUAUAGCAACACUCUUUAACUGUCACUAUAUACCUAGCGACCCCACAUAUAGCAACACUUUUUAAAAGUGUCGGUAAUUUUAGCGAGCAGCACUUUUUUGACAUGUACCUACAUUUAAAAGUGUCGCUAUAGACCGUUUUUGUUGUAGUGAAUGGUAAAAUGGGAAUUUUAUAGAAAUAAGGAUUAUUCCCAUGGGAUUGCGUGCGGUGAAAAAGUACGAUGGGAAAAUAUUCUAAUUGUUUUCGUACAUAAUAUUACGUUUCGUAUAUUGUGAUGGGUCGGUUAUGAUAUAUUUUCUGCGGUCCCAUAAAAGAACGCAGAAGUAUAUUUCUAUAUAUUUUUAUUUUUUUCCUGCUUCAGAUAGACCUCAAUACCAAACUAAACCUAACAUAAUUUAACUGUAGAAAUAUAUUUGAAAGACUUUGAAAUUUUGAAAGAAUAUUUUUAAUAUUAGCCAUUUAAGAGAGUUAAAUAAAAAAGUUAGAAACUUUUUAUGAAGCACUUACCCCUUAAUAUUUUAUAUUUAUAUUUAAUAUUCUUUGUAAUUUUAAACUUGGAUUCUUCUGCUUUGAUAUUAUAUAAAAUUAUUUCUUUUCUCUAAUAAUUUUUUUUCUUUCCAUAAAGAAAAUAGGAGAGAAAAGAAAAGUAAAAAAAAUAAAAUAAAAAUUUUCUCUCAUGUUCUUUGGAUUAAGAGAAAAGAAGAGGAAAAUUUUUCUAUCAAUCCUUUUUGAGAGAGAAUAGAAAUAUGCCGUGAUUGAAGGUAAUAUUUUGUCAAUUUCUCUUUAUUUUUCGUAUUUUCACUUAUCGACUUUCGUUCCAAAUAACACAAAAUAAUUUUCUGUUUUAUUUUUCUUUUCUAGUCUCCUUUCGCUCCAUUCAAAUAGAGUGAGCUUAAAUUUUCAGUUCAAAAUCAAUAUUUUUAAAUAUCUAAUAUUCUACUAGUUGUGCUUUUAUUGUACUUUCUGAUAGUUGAAUCUCAAGCAUUUUUUUUGUCUUUAUGCUUGUAGGACAUGUUUGCAGCUGGCACAGAAACCACAUUCACAACAAUAGAUUGGGUAAUGGCGGAGCUGAUCAAGCACCCAAAAGUAAUGGAAAGAGCACAGGAGGAGAUAAGACGAGUAGUCGGAUCGAGUCCGAAGGUCGAAGAGGAGCUCUUAGAAGGAAUGUACUAUCUCAAGAAUGUGAUCAAGGAGACCCUGAGGCUACACGCUCCAGCACCGUUACUUGUGCCGCGAGAGACGAUUGAAGAUACUCAACUAGAGGGCUUCAACAUUCCCGCCAAGACAAGGGUUAUAAUCAACGCUUGGGCUAUCGGAAGGGACCCUAAGUUGUGGGAGAGGGCGGAGGAGUUUUGGCCCGAGAGGUUUACGAACAGCCCUAUUGAUUUCAGAGGACAGUACUUCGAAUUCAUACCGUUUGGUUCGGGAAGGAGAGGUUGUCCGGGGAUCAAUUUCGCUGUAUCCGUCGUCGAGUUAGUUCUUGCGAAUUUGUUGUACCAUUUCGACUGGGAGUUGCCUCAUGGUAUGAAAACGGAGUUAUUGGACAUGAGUGAGUCGAGCGGAUUGACAGUGCAUAGGAAGCAAAAUCUUAUUCUUGUGCCAAAACUACGAAAAUUUUAAGUUGUUUUAAUGUGUAGCUAAACUCAUCCCCUUCGAUAUUUUCAAAGAAAAAAAAAAAAUCGUAAGGCACUUUUAAGCUAACUUGUUUGUACUAUAAAAUAACAGUAGUAAUCGUCAUGGGAGAAGCGUUAGAUUGAUGCUUCUUCACUGAUGGUUUGGACUAACAUUCUAUAGUAUUGAAUCAAGAGGGGAGCUACUAAGCAUUUCCAGAGUCCGGACUUCCCAAAUUCCCUCAAUAUUUAAGGGGCUGUUUAUGACCAUCACAUUUCCAUAUUAGGCCUUGAUCGGUUCGUGCGUAAAACGAGAGAUGCAAAAAUAGAAGAAGUGAAUCCUUUUUGGAAUUUUUGCGAGAGAGAGAAAAAUGAAUGAACAGAUUGUUUUUAAGAUGGGCUUUUUUUGCAAAUGGCCUUCUAAAAAAAUUGUAUUUUAAAAUUAGUCCCAACAAAUUUAUAAUUAUAAAAAUGACCAUACUCCUGCCACGCAGGCGCUACGCAAGCGCCACGUAGGCGGGCUGGAGGUUGGUUGGCAAGUUGAAUGAGAUGAAUCAUUCAUCGUGUUCAAACACGGUGAAUGAUUCACCGUGUUUCAUGUUUAUAUUCCUUUUCUUCUCUUUUAGGGAUAUCAACAGGUCAGGUUUGGAUCGGGUUUUCAAAAAUCUGAAACCGAAUCCGAAAAUCAAAUUAAAACCUGAACCCGAAUCCGAACUUGGCGGAUUUUAAAAAUCCAUAUCCAUAUCCAUAUAUUAAAGUUAUAUGGGUAUGGAUUUUUAAAAUUCGUUGGGUUCGGAUUCGUAUUCGGAUUUUAAUUUGAUUUUCGGAUUCGAGUUCGGGUUUUUAAAAACCCGCUCCAAACCCGACCCGUUGACAUCUCUAAAAGAAGAAAAGGAAUAUAAAUAUAAAACACGGUGAGUCAUUCAUCGUGUUCAACUUGCCAUCCAAGCUGGGCCCACGGGGCGCUUGCGUGGUACCUGCGUGGCAGGAGAAGGACCAUUUUUGCAAAUUAAAAUUUGAUGGGACUAUUUUUUUAAAAAAAAAUUGUCGGGGGCUAAAUGCAAAAAAUACCCUUUUAAGAUUGAUUGUUUAUCUAUUAACUUACACUUUUGAAUUAGGGAAGAUUGCUUGUAUAUUUCUAAAAAAAUUUCUGAGUUUUUUUAUUUACCCAUUUUAAAAAAAUAAUAUAAAAAUUAAUUUUUAAACAUUCCAAAUUAUUUUAAAUAUACUAGAUUUAAAUUCUACUAUUAGUGAAAUAUUAGGAAUAUUCGUUAUCUUUGUAAAAUUAUUAUUUUGUCCUUUUUAAUAUUUUUUUCUACCAUUAUCAAUUUUUCUUUUUUAUCUUUAAAUUAUGGGCAAAAAAAUAUUUUAAAUUUUUGCCUUUUCAAAUAUAACCUUUUACCGUCAUCAAUUUUUCUUAUUUGUUCUUAAGUUACAGAUAAAAAAUAUAUUUUUUGAUUUAUUUUUAACACAUGUAGAAAUUUAAUCCGGAUUUAACUCCAGAUAAUUCAACUGGUAUUAACAAUGGGUUAUUUUAGCACAUGUACAAUUAUACAUUUGUAAGCUGUUGUCUUAUUUCGUGUUGCACCUUCACUGAGGAGUUUCUUAAUAAGUUCUUAUUGGGAUAGCUUGGUUUUAAAUAUCUAUUCCAAUUUAAAGUUCUUUCAUUGGAAUAUCAACACUGUAUUGAAUAGUGGAUUUAGAGGAGCCCAACAAGGUUGAAUGAGGAGCUUCUCAUUUUAAAUUUUUUCCGUUAUGAUAAGUGUGAGAAAGAGUGAAGUGAUAUUCAUCGUUUUUAUUUAAUUGGUUCGCUGUAAAUUAAGUUUAUUGAUAACAAAAUUAAUCUCAUACCAAAAAAAUUAAAAAUUAAUAAAAAUACACGUGUAAUUUUGUUUUCAAACUUUUGUAUGUUAAUGUAAAUAAUAUUUUUUGGUCAAGCAAAUAGAAAAAUGAAAAACCUUUAGCUCUAAAGCCAUUAACUUUUCAUGAAAUAAAUAAUAGUAUUGAUGCCAAAAUUAAAACUAACAUGCCGACCUAACCCACGUACGUAUGAGUCAAUAAGAACACGUGAUACAUCAGGAGUCGGCAAUAAGAUGCCCGAAGGUUUUAGACGGGAAUGGUUGAGAAGUGGGGCAUAAGAAGUGAGCGUAACUUUCACGGUAGGGCGUAACUUUCAUGAGUAGUGGGCAUAACUUUUACGAUCAUGGUUAUAACUAUUCCCCCCACCACUUUCAACCAACCAAUAAUGUGGGUUGAUAUUACUAUAAAUAGUAAUUUCGAAAUCUGCAAUAAGGGUCUUUCUCUCCCCUGAACGAGAAGACCACCGCAUUUUCAUAUUUUUUCUUUUCUGCAUUUACUGCUUUCCUAUGAGUAGUUUUUAAGAUAGAUUUUUAGAGUCUGUAUGCCCCACGGGCACACUCUGUUAUAAACUAUAUUUUCAGAGUCUGUAUGUCCUUUGGGUACACUCUGUUUUAUUAAUAUAUAAAGGUAUUCGGCUCUUUCAGCCGACUACACUUUGUAUUUUCAUCCAUUCGGCUCUUCAGCCGACCCUAGUUUCUGUGCAUUCUAUACAUUCGGCUCAUCCAGCCGAACCGAUUCUAUAGAAGAGAUUUCGAAUCCGGCUGAUCCGAUCCCUCAUCAGCCGAAUCGUUUGAACAAUCGAAGGGCGCAAACUUCGAGGGUCAUUAUCCGAAGCCGUUUUUACCCCGACAUGCUCCCUGAGGAGGACCUUUGACCACGUCGAGGGUCGGAAAAAAUUCGGCUACCAACAAAUAGUAAAAAAUAUCGUGAAUUUUAGCUUAAUAAAAGUAUUAAAGAUAUCAAAAAUAAUAUUUAUCUAAACUGUAGUUCAACUGCAUGCUAAUUUGAAAAUAAUUUAAAAACAAGGGGUAAAGCUGGGUUCAUGUAUUUCUUAGACCGGUUUCACGUGUAAUCUCCUGGACCGGGUUUAGCUCUUUUUAAACGAGGUUUCCGAGGAGGACAAAGCUGUUCUUAACUUUUUCUUAUGUGCUUCUAGACCGGUUCCACGCGCCAUUCCCUCGACUAGGCUUAGCUUCUUUUCGUAUCAAGUUUAAUUUGAUUGGCUCAGUCUAUUGGACCUGGUCUAGGAAUAGUUUGCUCUUUUGAGUAAAAUAUCAAGCAUCGUAUAGUAGCGUACUAGUUACGGAACCCGCGCGUUGGACGCUUGAUUACGUUUGAAUACGACUAUUUUUUUAUUUAAAUAUUUCAAAUUGCCCACGUAUAUGGUUUCCCUCAUUUUUAUUUUAUCAUUUUAUUAUAAAAAUUUUACUUUAUAUUUUGUAAUUUAAAUACUGUUUUAUGAAAAUAAUUUUGUAUGAAAUAGGAUCGUAAAGUAAAAAAAAAAAAAAAAAAAAAAAAAAGAGUGGCAAAAUAAAGAAUACGUUAAACUACAGAAGAGAAAAAUGUAAUUUUUUUGAACCACAGAUGCUAAUGUGAAAAUAAGCUAAAUUGAAAGGGAAUAAAGUAAAAUUUUUUGAAUCAGGGAUUAAAAAGUGAAAAUCAGCCAAACAUCGAUGGGACAAUUUGAAGUUUAUUUUUUUAAAAUUAAUGAGCAAUGCUAAGGCUGCGACUCAUUUUGAAUUGUAAUAUGUGACCGCCCCUUUCAUUCAAGAUCCUUUUUCUUUUUUUUUUCUCUACUCAUCAUAUUAUUUUUUAUUUUAAAAUUCAAAAGGGAUUAGCAGAUAUUACAACCCUUUUGGGCUAUGGGUAGUCGACUUAGCAUUAAUUUCUCUAAAUUAACAGGGUCCCACAGGAUCUCCUUAAUAUUGAUAAUAAUAUUUUUUUUUUUUCCUUUGAUUUUUAUAAUAGUUUUUCUUUCUAAAGAGUUUUAUUCUUUUUUAAUAGCACUUCAUAGAUCUUGAACAAGUGUUAGUAUGUUUAGUUAUAGAGAAAAAUGAAUGGACAAAGAUCGAUUGUUUACCUAUCGCUUUUGAAUUCAAUAAGUAUAUGUUGAUAUUUAUGUUAGCAUCCUAUCGAAGCUCCGUGUCAAAAUUCGAUCUGACUCUCACCCGUAUAGGCUGUUAUCGUUGCCCCACAAAUAAUAUCUCCUCUUCCACAGUUUGUGUCCACAAAUCACAAGUGGUAGUGUAGAUUAAUAUCCCCUCAUUCACCUUACAACUCCACAAGCUAAAGCCACAAACGGAAAUAAUCAUGCCUCCACUAACUCAGCUCUUCCAGUUACUGCUCCACCAAAACUCAAUGCACGUCGCCUCCUUUUUCCUCUCAAUCUUAAUCAUCACCUUCUCCGUUUUCUCGUGGAAUCGUAAAAAAGCCGCUGCGGCAGCUUCAGAGAAGAAUUUUAAACAGAUUCCGUCGCCGCUGAGGCUUCCGCUCAUCGGCAACCUGCACCAGCUGGGCAAGCUCCCACACCGCUCCCUCCGCGCGCUCGCUGGGAAGCACGGGCCCGUCAUGCUCCUCCGCCUGGGCCGCGUUCCCACCGUCGUCGUCUCCUCGGCCCCGGCGGCCCAGCAGGUCAUGAAGGCCAAAGACCUCACCUUCGCCAGCCGCCCCCCGGCCCGCAUAUCAAACGCUCUCUUGUACAGCAGCGACAUCGCCGUCUCACCCUACGGCGAGUACUGGAGGAAGGUGAUACCGUUGUUCUAUGAAAGUUUGAAUUAUUUUUAAAGUAAUAAUAUAUAAAAUUUAUCGGAACUAUAAAUCAUUUUGGUACACAACUUUUUAUUAAUUUUAUUUGAUUUAAAUAAUAUAAUGGUUCUUUAGAUGAAAAAAUAUUUGUAAGCUAAUUAUUUGCUUUAAUAAAUAAAUAGUUUUAUAAAUAAAUAGUCACGUAAAUUAUAUAAAAUAUAUUAACUAAAUCUGUAAAUAUAAAUGCCGAAUUCAAAUGAAAUAAAUUAAAAGAUUGGACAGUAAAAUCAAAAUUUUAAGAUUAAAUUUUCGGAUCAUUCACCAAAGGUGCGAAUAUUCGCUCUAAAAUAAUUUUACUACUAUUAGAAUUUACUAAGGCCUUUUUUAUAUAAAAAAUUUGCUGAUUUUGCGUUUUUAUAAAAUUUGCCGAUUUUUUCAAUUUUGGAGAGUUGGGUCGGAAUUUUAGAAAUCUGACCAAAUUGUCCCUCUCUUCUAACUCCUUCCUCUUUCUGGUCUAUCUUUCUUCUUGGUCGUAAUGCCAUCUUCCCCGAUGCCGUCGACAAUUCUUUCCUCUGCUUCCUCAUUCUCUACAGCAAUCCACCUCUUUCUCUCGGACCUCUUCCUUCCUUUUCUUCUAUUUUCUUUUUAUUAAUUAAAAGGAAUAAAAAUAUUAUAUUUUUUAAAUAUAUAUUACACUUUUUGAUAAAUGCAAUGGACCGUCUAUUUAAUUAUAUGUUGUACUAUUUUAUAGUAUAUUAUAUAUAUUUACGAUUUGUUAUAUUAAUUAAUCAAUGUAUAUUUUAUUCUCUCUAACGAAAAAAGAAUAAAAAAUGAAACAAGAAGAAAAAAGAUAUUGACGUCUCUUUUCGCUUCCUUCUCCUCCUUCCUCUCCCUCUCUCCUCCACCUUCGAUACCCUGCCGCCGCUAUCGCCAACUGCACUGUCACGCUCCGAAUUGCACGUUUUUCCGGGCAUGCCAACAGACCCGCCGUAUACAUAGGAAUUACCCCUAUAUACGAAGCGAUAGCUAUACCUAUAAACAAAACUAAGCUACAAUCUCAAGUAUAGAGCUGCUAAGCAAAACUAAUAUAUAUAAAACAACAUGACCAAGCACAUACAAAAGCUACGAACCAGCACCUAACAUCUCGCUCCAGCGAGUAACUAAACAAAGAGUAUGUACAUGUACAACACUCAUAACUACCUCUGAAGGGGUACUCCGCUAGCAUGGCGACUGAGACUGGUAGGGAUUUAGCUCGCAACUCCCUUACCACGAUCAGUAUCAACAACAGCAGCAACCGCAGACGAAAGCUCUGUAAAAGGGGCCAACAACUGGGUGUGAGAAUUACUGCAAAAAGAAGUAGAUCUCAGUGGGUAUUGCUACCGAUCUCAACGGCUCACCCACUAAGUCUACAGAAAAUAUGCUCAAUGAUAGUAAAGAAAGCUGGAAAAACUCUACAGCUAUAUGCCACUAUACUAUCGCUAACCAACACUAGCUAUCUGUAUAUAUAUAUAUGCAAGAUGCAAUUUCUGACCCAAUCUCACUGAGGACUGUGAACACACCCGUCCUGCCUGUCGAAGCUACACCAACCACCACCACACUAGGUUGUUGGUGGAGAGCAAGUCCAACCAGGACACUACAACAAUAACGCAAAAGCAUUAAGCCCGACUCCGGAGUGACACUCGUGGGCACUGCCCAACCGAGUAUGCAAGCGUAUCUCUGCCGAGCUCAAUCAGGCUCUCACAGAUUAUAAUCAAAACAAAUGGGUCUAACUGGUUUACAACCAAAACUCACGUGCCCUUGGCAUAAUCUGAUACAAAUACAGAAAUCUGGGUCCACUGUCAACCGCGACGGCACCCAACAGUCCAAAACAGUCUACACAUUACUAUAAAAUAAGUUCGGCAUCCCAGCACGAGCGUAAACUUAUCCUACACUAAUUUGAGUAUCCAUCGCAUACUAACAGCGAUGAUACAAUAGAACCACAGCUCCUAAAGCUAAAUAUGAUAAUUUUUAGAAAUGAUAGUGUAGGUUCUAAAUGUUUUCUCCUAAGUCAAUUCCAAGUCCAACAUGUAAAAUUAAACUACUAACUUAACUCCAAAUUCAGAUAUAAACACUAAUCCAUGAAUUCGAGUACUAGCAAGAAAAAUAGACGGAUGAUACAUGUCGACAAAUACUAAAAGUUAGAAUAUAUUCCCACGAUUUCGGUAAACUUCAACCCACCUUAAAAUGCUUAUCCAACAACGGCUAUCCAGCUAGAGUACCGAUACCAGCCCGAUGCUGUACCGGUACUUAGCAUCAAUUAUCACAACCCGAGAGCAGUAGUUCGAAAAUUACACUGGGGUACCGGUACUCCCCUGUGUGGUAUCGGUACUCAAUACUGAAAACCCUCACUUUGCAUAUUUCAAUGUCAAAAUUUUGUUCUCGCGUCGUGCUGAGUCCAUUUUGCGUCCACUUCGUGCCAAAACGAUUCGGAUUUGUCCCGACACUCUUCAGAUAUGUCGACAAAUCUCAGAUGCUGAAAUCUCACGGCAACUAAACACCUGUGUUACUACAUGCACUGCCACCAACGCCCAAAUCUCUACAAUCCAUGCGUUGACCGAGUCGUCACCGCCGCCAUCAGCAAUAGCAGAGAUGUAGGCGAGGUAGGAGGAGAGCAACAACGACGAGCAGGUGGUGGAGGGAGAGGAGGAAAAAAAAAAAAAGAAAAGAAAGAAGAGAGAGAUAGAGAGAGGAAUAUGGAUAUUUUUGUUUAUUUUUUAAAAAUUCGGCCCAAAAUCAAAACAUGCAGUAGCCCUAUUUUGCAAAAAUGCAAAAUUAGUGAAAUUUUUGUGCAAAAAGCCAUACACUUAAAUAAACUGGAUAUUUUAUAAAAUUAUUAAAAUAAUUAUUUUAUAAAACUACUUUUUAUCAUCAUCGAAAUUAAAAGUGCAAAAUAUACGAGACUUCAUAAAUUAAAUUAUAUUAGGUUCCGUGUUUGGUGACGGAGAGAAUGUAUAAUUAUGUAUAAUCAGAAAGCAUAAUAAAAAAAAUUAUUUCCUUUCUUUUUAUUAAAGAUAGUAUGCUAUGUAUAAAUAAUAAUUUACUUACGAUGUAACUUUUACGAUCUUACAAAAAAACAGAAAAUUAUAUUUUACUCCCAAUAUUGGAGAGGCUUAGAGACUAUCCAAAUAUUUUACUCUAAUCAAGCAAUCUUUAAUAUAUACUUUCUAUGCAACACAUCUUCUCUAGCUUAGUGUCACGGACAAAAUGUUUCCUGUUGACUUCUCCUUGACAGUGGCCCAAAUCUGCUAGCGAAACGGGUUGAAAAUGGGUUGAAUCGGGUUGUCAAAGAGACCCAAACCCAAUCCGCUAUGGAGAGAUGAAGGGUUUUGUAACCUCUCCCAUUAAUGAUGAAAACUCAAGGGUUAUGAAACUCUCAUGAGUUAUGGGGUGAUUUUUGAGCUUAUGACUCAUUAUGAGGGUGAGUUAAUGUGUCUCAUAAUGAGAGAGUUAGCGUGUGUCUAGGUUCAUUGUAUUUAGAAGCUUAUAAGUAGUGGGGUUUUGUUAAGGCCAAAACAUACAAGAGGAAGUGUGUAUGUGAGUUGUAAUUCUCAUUUUCUAAGUAGUGUAGUACUUAGUUUUUUGAGAGAAUCUCUGCUUCUUUCUCUUUGUCAUUCUAUUUGUAUAUUUAGUCGUAGGACGCGAAGAUUCGGACUAGCAACAGGGACGAAGGCUUGCCCAUUUUCGAGUAGGAAGGCGGGCGCCGCACGGACUUUGCGAACAGAACCGUUAAGGCCGUGACAGUAGGCUCCUGAGUUUUCAAUUAGGGUCCUUUUUGUUCAACGAAAACCGUGAAAAAUAAAAUUCGAUGGAAAAAAUUUUUAUAUAUUGUCGUGUUUAGUUUGUAAGAAAAAUAAAAUAGUUUUCAUCAACAGUCAUUUGAUUGAAGGAAAAAAAAAAUCACAUUAUUUUAGCUCAGUAGAAAAAAAAAAUAAAUGAAAAAAAUUUUAUGCAGCUUAAGUUUUCGCUUUCCAUCGAGAAACAGCGAAAAAUCAAAACUUUAAUUUUUUUUCUCAAUCUAUUUUAUGUUGAACCAAAUAAUCAAAAAAGACAUUUGUCAUGUAGAAAAUAAUAUUUCAAUUUGUUUUACGCAGAAUCAAGUGUCCCCUUAGGUUAAAGACAUGAGAUUGAAUUACUUCUUUUCAACUUUGAGCUAUAGAUAACUGCAUGUGUUUUCAUAUUUCCAACUGCAGGUGCCGCGCAUCUGCGUCCUGCACCUGCUCAGCCUCAAGCGCGUGCAGUCCUUCCGCUACGUCAGAGAAGAAGAGGCCGCGCUGCUGGUCGACAAGAUCCGCGCCACUGUCGCUGCCGCCGCCACCACCUCCAGCACAGUCGACGUCAGCCAGCUCGUCGUCAAUCUCACAAACGACGUCACCUGCCGGGUGGCGUUCGGUCGCAAGUACUCGGCGGAGGGCGGCGGCGCCGCGAAGAUCCAAGCGACGUUAGCGGAGUUCGCGGCGCUGCUGGGGACGGUGGAGAUCGGAGAGUUCGUUCCCUGGUUAGGAUGGAUCGAUCGGCUGAGAGGAUUGGAUCGGAGGGUGAGGAAUAACUCGAGAGAAUUGGAUGCGAUGCUGGAGCGAGUGUUGGAGGAUCACUGCAGUGGGAACGAGGAAGGUGAUGAUCUCGUCGACGUGUUGCUGUCUAUAAACGACAAGGAUGAGAACGUUGGGAUUGCUCUUACUCGGAGUAAUAUAAAAGCUCUUCUAUUGGUAAGCAAAUUAACUUCAUUUGGUUAAUUUCGCCUUUCAAAUGAUAAUUAAAAUGCUAAUAUUGCGUAGAAUAUCUGCUUUUCUCUAAACACUGAAUUAGCCAGAGAGCUAUGCUUUUAAUAUUAGGGAUAAUUGCCUAGGUACCUUUAAAACUUCUCAAAUAUUUAUUUAUUUCUAUUUGUUUUCAAAUAUACCUUUAUAUAUUUUUUCGUUAUUCAAAAAUAUCAUUGAUGUUAGUGCCAAUAAGUCACCUCGGAUUAAACAUGAGUACCAUAGUUAAAAAAAACAGUGAAAUUUUUUUUGAUGAUGGUAGAAGAAUAUAUUCUGUACAUUUUUCUUUAUUUUUCUCAUUUUUACUGGUCAAGUUUCGAUCCAAAUAACACAAAAUAAUUUUCUGUUUAAUUUUCUUUUCUAGUCUCCUUUAGCUCCGUUCAAAUGGAGCGUAAAAGUAUAAAGUUUUAGUGUAAUUAAAAUCAAUAUUUUUAAACAUCUAAUGUUCAACUAGUUGUGCUUUUGUUGUACUUUCUGAUAGUUGAAUCUCAAGCAUUUCUUGUCUCUAUGCUUGCAGGACAUGUUUGCAGCCGGCACAGACACCUCAUUCACAACAAUAGAUUGGAUAAUGGCGGAGCUGAUCAAGCACCCAAAAAUAAUGGAAAGAGCGCAGGAGGAGGUAAGACGGGUAGUCGGAUCGAGUCCGAAUGUCGAAGAGGAGCUCUUAGAAGGAAUGUACUAUCUCAAGGAUGUGGUCAAGGAGACGCUAAGGCUACACGCUCCAAUACCGUUACUUGUGCCACGAGAGACGAUUGAAGAUACUCAACUGGAGGGUUUCGACAUUCCUGCCAAAACAAGGGUUAUAAUCAAUGCUUGGGCUAUCGGAAGGGAUCCUAAGUUGUGGGAGAGAGCUGAGGAGUUUUGGCCCGAGAGGUUUACUAACAGCCCUAUCGAUUUCAGAGGACAGUACUUUGAAUUCAUACCGUUUGGUUCGGGAAGGAGAGGUUGUCCCGGGAUCAAUUUUGCUAUGUCCGUCAUCGAGCUAGUUCUUGCGAAUUUGUUGUACCAUUUCGACUGGGAGUUGCCUCAUGGUAUGAAAAGGUAGUUAUUGGACAUGAGUGAGUCGAGCGGAUUGACAGCGCAUAGGAAGCAAAAUCUUAUUCUUGUGCCAAAACUACGAAAAUUUUAAGUUGUUUUAACGUGUAGCUAAACUCAUCCCCUUCGAUAUUUUCAAAAAAAAUUCUUAAGGCACUUUUAAGCUAACUUGUUUGUACUGUGAAAUAACAAUAGUAAUCGUCAUCAGAGAAGCAUUAGAUUGAUGCUUCUUCACUGAUGGUUUGGACUAACAUUCUAUAGUAUUGAUUCAAGAGAGGAGCUCCUAAGCAUUUCCAGAGCCCGGACUUCCCGAAUUUCCUCAAUAUUUAAGGGGCUGUUUAUGACCAUCAUAUUUCCAUAUUAGGCCUUGAUCGGUUCGUGUGUAAAAUGAGAGAUGCAAAAAUAGAAGAAGUGAAUCCUCUUUGGGAUUUUUGUGAGAGAGAAAUAUGAAUGGACAGGUUGUUUUUAAGAUUGAUUGUUUACCUAUUAAAUUACACUUUUGAAUUAGGUAGGAUUAUUUAUAUAUUUCUGAAAAUUUUUUGAAUUUCUUAUUUAUCCAUCUUAAAAGAAUAAUAUUGAAAACAUUUUGUUAACAUUUCAAAUUAUUUUAAAUAUGCUCCUAGAGUUAAAUUCUAUUAUUAGUGAAAUAUUAGGAUUAUUUGUUAUCUCUAAAAUUAUUAUUCGCCCUUUUAAAUAUAUUCUUCUAUUGUUUUCAAUUUUUUCUUAUUUAUCUUUAAGUUAUGAACAAAUGAAAUAUUUUAAUUUUUUACCUUUUCAAAUAUACUCUUAUACCGUCAGCAACUUUUUUAAUUUGCUCUUAAGUUAAGGGUGAAAAACAUAUUUUAACUUAUUUUUAGCUCAUGUAGAAAUUUAAUUCAGAUUUAACUCGAGAUAAUUUAAUGGAUAUUAACAAUGGAUUAUUUUUAAAUAACGGAGAAAUAUACGAGCGUUGUAUUUAAAAUAAAAAAAAAGAUAAAACUGUAUAAGAUAUUUCAAAAAUUCUGAGAGCAAUAUUAGAUUUUAUCCCUUGAAUUAAAUGAGCUAUAGUGUGUUGAUAAAUAUAUCAUGUCCUGAGCUUAAGGCUAUGUUUGUUUGGAUGGAAGUGGGGUGAAAAUGGAGAGAAGGGAAGUCGUUUUCGUGUUAAACGACCACUUCCGUUGUUUGGCUCGCCAUAAAAAAAUUACGGUCGAAAUUCGAGUUAACCUCAAACAGCAUAAUUGACUUCUCCCCAUCGUGGGUCGAAGUCAAUUACGGUGAAGAGAGGUAAAAAUAAAAUAAAAUAAAAUAAUAUAAUAGAUAAAGCUAAUUAUAUUUAAAUAUAUUUAAUUAUGUUACUAAUUAUUUUUUUAUUCAGUUAAUAUAUCUAAAAUAUGAUAAAAAUUGAUUAGUUAAGUUUUAAUAUUUUUUUUUUUUAGUUUGUACAUUUAAAAUAUGAUAAAAAUUGAUUGUAAUUAUUAAUAUUUUUUUACUUUAUAAUUUUAUUAUUGUAUUACUAUUAUUUAUGUAGAAAAAAAUAAUUUAGUUGUUUUAAAUUAAAUUUUAAUUAUAUUGUAGUGUUUCUAAGCUUUGGAUAGAAUUGACUUCAGUAUUAGUGACUGGUCCACACAUCUGGAGAGUGUCGGACUAAGUCGGAGUCGUUUCUAGCGAAAUGGAUGCAGAAAUGGACUCGGCGCACUCAAAUAAGCAAAACUGGAGUUUUGCCAGAUUCGAGCGCCCAGAACUGGCUUUGGGUCACCCAGAAGUUGAGUGUAGAACUGAGCAGAACUGGAAAUCAAUUCGGAUCCAUGUUUCGGGCGCCCGGAUGUGGGUCCGAAAAGUUCACCUCGUGAGUAUCGUUGCGCUGACACGUGGUUGGUAGGAGGUGAGGUCCGCCGGAGCCGGAUACGGGCGCAGCACACCGCGGGUGGAGGAGCCGAGGGGGGUUUUUGUGCAGCCAGGAGGAUUCGGACGCCCAGAAUCAGGUUUUGGGCGCCCGAAAGUGGAGAUUUCUGCAGGAGUACUAGCUUUGCAGCAAUUGUUCCUGAGGCUUUUUGGACCGCCUCAACACCCUAUAAAUAGAUAGAGUGCGCCCCCUUGCUGCUCUUUUCCUCCCUUCUUCACAGAGAAGACCACUUUAGCAUUCCAACCCCUCCAAAUCACUCAAUUUGUAUCAAAGGUCCACAAAUUCAGCUUGAGGAGUGCUGAUUCUGCAGUUUUCCAGCGACGACCUUCGGUGUUUUGGCUCGUGUGCGACGUAGGAAGGUCAGAUUGGGGUGAAACUUGGUUUGCUGGAUUCUAGACUUCCAGAGGAAUCCAUGAAACCCAGAAUUUCAGAUUUUGGUUGAGGUUAGCUUGGUCGAUUCUAUGUUUUUCUGGACUAUUGGUGACUUUGAGCUGAAAAUCUGAUUUUUGGGUUUUUCUUGGUGCUAUCUUUGGAGGCAGGGUGUUUUUGGACCUGAGACACUUACUCCAUCCUACUCCACUAGAUUUGAGACCCUCCUCACCAAAUUUGGAUGUGAUUAGGUGAGUUUUGACAUUGGAGUUUGGUUAAUUAAGCUUAAGUGCUGAAAUUAGCAUUGUCAUUGAUGCAACUUGGUUAUCUUGGGUUCAAAUCUUGGGAGAAGGGUAGUCUUGAACCUGGAAAACUUUCUACAUCCAAUUCACUGCUGAGGGAAUCUUGCUACUGCUGAUUUGAAGGUAAUCUAGUGAAAUUAGCAUUGUAUUUGAGCUAAUUCAAGCGUAAGUGCUGAAUUAUUGGAUUUUUAUGGAUUUCGACGCUAGAUCCCUUAAGUAGUCCAGUUGCUGAUUUGGUGUGAUUUCGGCUGAGUCUCCCAGCAGUUUUGUGACCUCCUUGCUGCCAGGAAAGAGCAUUUGAGGUGGGUUUAUCAUUGGUUUUGCUCCUAAGUAUAUGUAUAGUAAACAUGUAUAGUUUUGACUUCGGAAUAUCAUGUUGUAGCUCAAAUUCAUCGAUUGGUAUAAUGUAUGAAAUCUGAAUUUGGAGCAUGAAUAGUAAUUAGUUGAAUAUACAUGUUGGAUUUGGAACUUGACUUAAGAGAAAACCAGCAAUUCAAUCUGUCAUAUGAUUCUACUACCUGAUUUAGCUCUAGGAGUCGUGGUUUGAUUGUAUCAGUGCUGUUUCAGCGCGGUGGAUACCCGGAAUAGUUUAGAAUGCAUUUACGCUCGUGCUGGGACGCCAAGCUUAUUUUUACAGUAGAGUUUAGGCUGUUUCGAGUUGUCGGGUGCCGUCGGGGUGGAUGGUGGACCCAGAUUGAUGUUUUUGGUAUCAGAUUGUGCCGAGGGCACGUGGGUUUGGUUUCUAGACCUGUUUUGACCCUAGCUACUUGACUUUGGCUUGUUAGAGUCUGAUUGUGCUCGACAGAGAUACGCUUGCAUACUCAAUUGGGUAGCGCCCAUGAGUGCCACUCCGGAGUCGGGCUUAGUGCGUUUGCGUUGGUGUCGUUCGUGCAGGUUGGACUUGCUCUCCAUGCACUGGUUAGUGUGGAGGUAGCUGUAUAGUCGCGACCGAGCGGGAUGGGUGUGUUCACAGUCCCAGGGACGAGUAUGACUACAGUCCUUAUUUGAGAUUGGGUCUUAGUUGACACUGUUCUACAGAUGGUUAGAUUUAGAGCAUGAUAGUAUAGUGGCAUAUAGCUGUAGAUUUGUUUCAACUUUCUUUAUUAUUCCUGCUGAUCCCUGUAGACUUAGUGGGUGGACCGAUGAGUUGAGGGCGGUACCCACUGAGGACUACUUGUUUUUAUAGUAGUUCUCACGCCCAGUUGUUACUACUGUUUUGCAGAGCCGUUGCAUUCGGCUGCUGCUGUUGUUGCUGAUCUUAAUCGUGGCAAGGGCGUCGCGAAUUAGAGCCAUUCCAGUCGAGUUGCAGAGCUAAAGGAGCACAAGCUACAGAUAAUUGUAGUUUUUGGAUCUUUACAUACAGUUGUUAUAUCUCGCCAGAGCGAGUGUUUGUAUACCUGUAUGACAUGUAUGUAUUGAACCACAGUUUACAUAUUUAGUUUAUUUUUUCUUGCUGCUCUAUACUACUGUUCGUAGUAUUGUAUGAUUACAGGUAUUUCUACUUUUUUGCUUCGUAUACAGGAAAAAUAUCUAUGUAUACGGCGGGUCUGUUAGCGAGCCCGGGAAAACGAGUAAUUCGGGACGUGACAUAUAUAAAAAUAUGUUUAUUAAAAUAUUUAUUAUUUAUAUAUAAAUUAUAGUUUUAUAUUAUAUACUUCCUACUAAACAAAUUAAUAUCAGAACUGAUCGAACUUCACUUUCAUAACUACGAAACAAAUAGUGAAAAAAAAGUAAUUUUUACCAAACUCCAGUUCAACCCAAAGUCCACUUCAACCUAAAGUCCAAUUUCGGUGAAACAAACAUGUCGUGCAUUUGCUUUCAUAGUAAUGUCACUAUGCAAAAAACUAUUUGGCUGCGCGAAAAAUCCUGAGAAACUAUUUUUUGAUAAAAUAAUUUAUCGUGAAAAAUAUUUAUUUCGUAGUUCUUGUUUUUCAGUCAACAUUUUAGAAACUAAAAUGAGAUUUUUCUAUAAAUUUUGAAUAAUAAUUUUUUUCAAAGACCACUUCUUCAGAAAAUCAAAUAGACAAAUUAAAAUUACUUUGUUAAGUGAGACUUUUUUGGGAAAGCUAAACCCCGCUUAAUAAAAAGUUAUUCAAUAGGGACAAUUGUGUAUUGAUUGAUAUUAACCUAAUCUGCACAAAAAAUAAAAGCCAAGAAAUCAUACCUUACAUCUAUCAAUCCACAAGUCGUUUUAAGAUUUUUCCUUGUUUCAUGUUGUUGUUACAUUUUAUUAAUUAAACUAUUGAUUUUUUACUUAAGCUGUCAUGGUGAUGUUACAUGUGAAUUAACUAUUCAUUUAACCUAUGCUUUUUAAACUUAAAGCUAAAGGGUUGUGUUGGGAGCCGAAUUUUUCUGUCCUCGGGAUACGCGUCGGGAUGAUGAGCGGCUGUGAAUGAUGACCCUCGAAGUCUGCGCCCUUUGAUCUAUCAAGCGAUUCGGUCGAUGAGGGAUCCAAUCAACUGGGUCCGUAAACUCUAUUCUCUCUUCUGUUCGGCCAGAUGAACCGAAUGCACAGGAGAAGCCAGAAUUUUGACCAAGAAAUGAGCCAAAUGGUUAAUACAGCACAGGAACUUGUUGACCUGAAGAGUCGAACACUGCCUUUUAUUGAAGUUGAACGGAGAAAGUACUGAAAAAAGGGGUUUAGUCUACAGCGGAGUGAUGCCCAAAGGGUAGACGACUCCAGGAUGCUAAGUUACAGGAACUACUCCUAGGAAAAGCGGUAAAUGUAGGAAAGAAGGAUGCAGAAAAAUAAGAGUAGUCUUUUGUUCGCAGGGGCGAAGACCUAUUUUCAGGGUAUCAUCGACAUAUUUAUCCUAUCGCCCCUGAUACAGUUAUUGCACGAUCAGCCACUAUUUCCUAGUAUUUCGGACCCAUUUUGGCCGAUCAAAAUCGCCGACAACUGCACGCAAUUGUUAUAACUCCCUGCUGGCGUGGCCGGUCAUAUUUUUCUUCAUACUUCCGACUCACAUCAAGACUGUGACUACUACCUAGGCCCGGUGUGCCAACUGUCCGCGUAAGAUCGGCUCUACAGGUUGCAACAUAUGUAUUUAACUCCUUUUAUGCUCUAUUAAAUGAAAACUAACCUACGCCUUUAUAUACUUGUAACUCCUUUGCUUUGAGCCUAUAUAUAAAGGCUUCUCUAUUCACUUGUACACAACUCAACAAACAAUAAAAUUAUUUUAAUUAUUCUUGAGAGAGAGAAGGUCAAAAAAAGGUGUCUGAUGGAGCUUUGGGCUCAUCUACUUGUGCAGAGUUAGUGAAGCUACACGACAAGGAUCGAGCCGUUGUAUCCUGGAGGGGACAAGUCAGUGCUCUGCUGCAUCGAUUCAAAGGCUUUGCCAACCGUAGAGGGCUUGAAUCUCCUUAAAGAGAGCGAGAUAUUCGUGCCUUAGCUUGAUCAACUCGUUAACACUUUUUAAAUUAUUUUGUAACUAACCUCUAUUUUUUGAAUAUUUACACCAACACAUGUAUUACCAGCUUGAAAUACUAGUGGCAAUGAUAAAUCAAAUUAAGUAACAAUAAAAUAGCAGCCACACAUAUAGCAAUCACAUUUUUUUUCUUAAAAAGCUUUCAUUGAAGUAGCUUGAUGAGACAUAAUACAUCCCGUAUCUAAAUUUUAAAUAUCUACUAGUUAAGGAACCCGUGCUACGCAACGAGUUUAUUUAUCUUCUUUAUAAAUAAUUAAUAAAUAAUUAAAUAUAUUUUUUAUGAAGUAAUAAUAAUAUAUUUUAGUUAAUUAAAUAAAGAAGUUUAAAAAUAUUUUCACAUGCGAUCAAUUAUAUCAGAUAUGCAAGUUUUGAUUACAAACAAUAAUGCUGAUCUUAACACUCGUUCGGUGUAAAUUCAUAAGUUUAUAUUUUAAUUAUAAUAAAAUUUUAAAAUAUAUAAUUAUUUAUGCCUAAUUUUUAAAUAUUUUAGAUUGUAGGUAUUAAAUAUUAUUUUUAAUUUUAUAAUUAUUUAGAUAUAAAUAAUCUAUUUUUAUAAAAAACACUACAAUUAAUUUUUUUUAAAAUAUAUUUAAUUACAACAAUUACAUAAAAUAUACUAACUAAAUAUAUAUAGUUAAACAACACAUUCAAAAAUCAUUAAUAAUAAAUUAAAAUUAAAAUUUUAAAUUAAAAUUAAAUUUUAUUUUUUUGUAUGUGGCCAAUAACAAUCUAAAAGAAGUAGAGUUAGAAACGUAAACAAACAGGGUAUUUUUCGUAACGCAAUCUCUCCGCAAUCCGAAACGAAGCCUUAAUGUUAUUAAUUAUUAGCUAAUUUAUUCCCACUUUUAUUAUCAUUAAAAAAUAAAUUGUAUUUUAAAAUUAAUUAUAAGAGGCAAAAAAAUUUCAAAAAAUUCCAACAAAAUCCUAAGUUGGCGAGUAGGCCCCACAGGAAAAAGGAAAAGCGCAAAAAAAAAAGAAAAAACGCCGCGCGGACUCGCGGCCGCGCCGGCNUCGAGAUGCUGAUGUAAAAGGAUUUGAUUAAACAUUUAGUAUAAUUCACCAAAACAGAGUAAUUCAUGAGUACAAUGAUAAUUAUGAUUACUAAAGAAAAUUGACAAAAAUUUGUCACAUCAUUUAUGAUGAUAAAUUAUACAAAGGGAAAACUUCAAAAACCCCCUUGUAGUUUUGUAGUUUAUCAAUUUGCCCCCCUGUGGUUUCUUCUUUCUCUUUUUCUUAUCAAUUUUAUUAUUUUAUUUUUCUUAAAUCAGUGAUAAAGUUAAAAUUAAAGGGUACUAAAAUGAAUAUUUGAUAAAUUUAGAUGGGUAUCUAAAGUUUUUUGUAUAUAAUUUAAUGAAAUAUUAACAAAAAAGCUACCAAAAAGAUAAAAACGAAACCACAGGGGGACAAUUUGAUAUAUUUUAAACCACAGGGGGGCAAAGUGAGAAACUAGGAAACCACAGGAGGGAUUUUUGAAGUUUUCCCAUAAAUAAAUAGUUACGUAAAAUAUAUCAACUAAAUCUGUAAAUAUAAACGACGAAUUCAAAUGAAGUUAAAAAAUCGCUAAUUUGCAAGUAAAUAAAUUAGAAGGGUGGACAAUAAAAUUAAGUUUUAAUACUAUUAGCCCUUGUUUGGUUGGGGUUUAAGGAGUAGAAUAACCCCUUAACCCCCAUUUUAUCCGUUAGCUAAUCCCACCUCAAAUAAAUUAUUUCGGGUUAGCUAACCCCACCUAACCCCACCAAACUCCAACCAAACACUAUUUUCUAUUCAUAAUAACUCACUAUCUUUCUUAUUACGCCUACUCCAACCAAUCAUUAUCCUUCUUUAUCAAUUAUUAUCUUCUUAUCCCACAUACUUCAACAAAACACUAUUUUUUAUUAUUCUAGACUAACUCCAACCCCCAGCCAAACACAAAAAAAUUUUAACCCCACUUUAACCCCGAACUUAACUCUAUCCCUGGAACAACUAUUUUUCCCUUAACCCCGAACCAUACGGAGGCUUAGAAUUUACUAAGAUCUUUUUUGCAUUAAAAAAUUACCCACUUUGCGUUUUGUAAAAAUCAGACCAUUUUUACUUCUACUUUUUUAAUUAACGAGAAUAAAAAUAUUACACUUUUUAAAUAUAUAUUACACUAUUUAAUAAAUGCAAUAGAACAUACAUUUGAUUAUAUAUUGUACUAUUUUAUAGUAUAUUAUAUUAUUUUUAUAAUUUAUUGCACUAAUGGAGAAAGAAUAAAAAUUAAAAAAAAGAAGAAGAAGAAGAAGAAGAGAGACAUUGACGUUUCCUUUCUCUUUUUUCUAGAGAUGUCAACGGGUCGGAUUCGGGACGAAUUUUCAAGAACCCGAAUCCGAACCCGACUCCAAACCCGAGAUCCGAAUUCGAAUCUAAAUCCGACGGAUUUUAAAAAUCUAUAUCCAAAUCCGAACCCGACUAAAAAUUCGAAAACGCCGAACCCGAACCGAACUCGAAAAUUUGAACACCGAAAUAAUAUUUUUUUUUCAAUAUUCAAAAUAUAUGAUAUUAAAUCUAAAUUUUAAAAUCAAAUUCAAAAUAACAUCAAAUUUAUAUAUAUAUAUAAUAUAUAUAUAUAUAUAUAUAUAUAUAUAUAUAUUAAUAUAUAUAUAUAUAAAUAAGCAAAAUAAAUUCGGCUUCGGGUCGGAUUUAGGUUCGGAUAGGAUACAGUCAAAAUCCAUAUUUGAAUUCAUAUCUGUCGGAUUUCUAUUUUUAAUAUUCAUACCCAAAUCCAUAUCUAUUUAGCAUCGGAUAUAUCUGUUUCAUUCGGGUUCGGAUUCGAAUAAAAUUUCGGGUAUCCAUACCUAUUGGCAUCCCUACUUUCUUCUCCUUCCUCUCCCUCCGUCCGCCAACUCCGGCACCUUGCCGCCUGCUAUCUCAAACUGCACCGCUACCCACGCCCUUAUCUCUGCAAUCCGUG
rnacentral:lncRNA from 1 species